rnacentral:rRNA from 1 species
GAGUGGCGGACGGGUGAGUAACGCGUAGGAAUCUGCCUGUUAGUGGGGGACAACGUGGGGAAACCCACGCUAAUACCGCAUACGCCCUACGGGGGAAAGCGGGGGCUCUUCGGACCUCGCGCUAACAGAUGAGCCUGCGUUAGAUUAGCUAGUUGGUAGGGUAAAGGCCUACCAAGGCGACGAUCUAUAGCUGGCCUGAGAGGACGAUCAGCCACACUGGGACUGAGACACGGCCCAGACUCCUACGGGAGGCAGCAGUGGGGAAUAUUGGACAAUGGGCGCUAGCCUGAUCCAGCAAUACCGCGUGUGUGAAGAAGGCCCUAGGGUUGUGAAGCACUUCCAAUGGGGAGGAAAACCUGCCGGCCAAUACCCGGUAGCUUGACGUUACCUAUAGAAGAAGCACCGGCUAACUCCGUGCCAGCAGCCGCGGUAAUACGGAGGGUGCGAGCGUUAAUCGGAAUUACUGGGCGUAAAGCGUGCGUAGGCGGUUCGUUAAGUCAGGUGUGAAAGCCCCGGGCUCAACCUGGGAACUGCAUUUGAAACUGGCGAACUAGAGUUGAGUAGAGGGGAGUGGAAUUUCAGGUGUAGCGGUGAAAUGCGUAGAUAUCUGAAGGAACACCAGUGGCGAAGGCGACUCCCUGGACUCAAACUGACGCUGAGGUACGAAAGCGUGGGUAGCGAACAGGAUUAGAUACCCUGGUAGUCCACGCCGUAAAUGAUGUCAACUAGCCGUUGGUCCUAUUUACAGGAUUAGUGGCGCAGCUAACGCAUUAAGUUGACCGCCUGGGGAGUACGGCCGCAAGGUUAAAACCCAAAUGAAUUGACGGGGGCUCGCACAAGCGGUGGAGCAUGUGGUUUAAUUCGAUGCAACGCGAAGAACCUUACCUACCCUUGACAUCCA